UGGGGAAUAUUGGACAAUGGGCGAAAGCCUGAUCCAGCCAUGCCGCGUGUGUGAAGAAGGUCUUCGGAUUGUAAAGCACUUUAAGUUGGGAGGAAGGGCAGUAAGCGAAUACCUUGCUGUUUUGACGUUACCGACAGAAUAAGCACCGGCUAACUCUGUGCCAGCAGCCGCGGUAAUACAGAGGGUGCAAGCGUUAAUCGGAAUUACUGGGCGUAAAGCGCGCGUAGGUGGUUCGUUAAGUUGAAUGUGAAGGCCCCGGGCUCAACCUGGGAACUGCAUCCAAAACUGGCGAGCUAGAGUAGGGCAGAGGGUGGUGGAAUUUCCUGUGUAGCGGAGAAAUGCGUAGAUAUAGGAAGGAACACCAGUGGCGAAGGCGACCACCUGGGCUCAUACUGACACUGAGGUGCGAAAGCGUGGGGAGCAAACAGG
rnacentral:rRNA from 1 species